UGGCUCAGGACGAAUGCUGGCGGCGUGCUUCAUACAUGCAAGUCGUACGAGAAAGCUUCUUCGGAAAGUGAGUAAAGUGGCGAACGGGUGCGUAACACGUGGGUAAUCUGCCUUGAAGUCUGGAAUAACCUUCCUAACGGGGGGCUAAUACUGGAUGAUUUUGAAGAUUGGCAUCUUUUUUCAAAUAAAGAUGGCGUGAUGAGCGCUGUCACUUCAAGAUGAGCCCGCGGCCUAUUAGUUAGUUGGUAGGGUAAUGGCCUACCAAGGCGACGAUGGGUAGCCGGCCUGAGAGGGUGACCGGCCACAUUGGGACUGAGAUACGGCCCAGACUCCUACGGGAGGCAGCAGUAGGGAAUUUUGCGCAAUGGGCGAAAGCCUGACGCAGCAACGCCGCGUGAGUGAUGAAGGCCUUCGGGUCGUAAAGCUCUGUCAGAUGGGAAGAACCCGGAUCGUGUUAAUAGCUCGAUCCGCUGACGGUACCAUCAGAGGAAGCUCCGGCUAACUCCGUGCCAGCAGCCGCGGUAAUACGGAGGGAGCAAGCGUUGUUCGGAUUUACUGGGCGUAAAGAGCGCGUAGGCGGCUUAGUAAGUCAGAUGUGAAAACUGCCGGCUUAACCGGACAGACUGCAUUUGAUACUGCUGAGCUUGAGUUCAGGAGAGGAGAGCGGAAUUCCCAGUGUAGCGGUGGAAUGCGUAGAUAUUGGGAAGAACACCAGUGGCGAAGGCGGCUCUCUGGACUGAUACUGACGCUGAGGUGCGAAAGCCAGGGGAGCAAACAGGAUUAGAUACCCUGGUAGUCCUGGCUGUAAACGAUGGGCACUAGGUGUUGGGGGUUUCCAUACCUCCGGUGCCGCAGCUAACGCAUUAAGUGCCCCGCCUGGGGAGUACGGCCGCAAGGCUGAAACUCAAAGGAAUUGACGGGGGCCCGCACAAGCGGUGGAGCAUGUGGUUUAAUUCGAAGCAACGCGAAGAACCUUACCCGGGCUUGACAUAUAGGUGCAAGCUCUAGAGAUAGAGGCCUCCUUCGGGACGCCUAUACAGGUGCUGCAUGGCUGUCGUCAGCUCGUGUCGUGAGAUGUUGGGUUAAGUCCCGCAACGAGCGCAACCCUUGUCCAUUGUUGCCAGCGAGUAAUGUCGGGGACUCUAUGGAGACUGCCGGUGAUAAACUGGAGGAAGGUGGGGACGACGUCAAGUCAUCAUGGCCCUUACGUCCGGGGCUACACACGUGCUACAAUGGUCGGUACAGAGGGCAGCUAAACCGCGAGGUCAAGCUAAUCCCAAAAAACCGGUCUAAGUUCGGAUUGAAGUCUGCAACUCGACUUCAUGAAGUUGGAAUCGCUAGUAAUCGCGGAUCAGCUAUGCCGCGGUGAUACGUUCCCGGGCCUUGUACACACCGCCCGUCACGCCAUGGAAGCUGAGGGUACCCGUAGUCGCUGACCCAACCGCAAGGAGGGAGGCG
rnacentral:rRNA from 1 species